rnacentral:rRNA from 1 species
UACGGGAGGGGGCUAGCGUUGUUCGGAAUUACUGGGCGUAAAGCGCGCGUAGGCGGACCUGCAAGUCGGGGGUGAAAGCCCGAGGCUCAACCUCGGAACUGCCUUCGAUACUGCGGUCGUCGAGUCGGAGAGGGUGAGUGGGAAUUCCUAAGUGUAGAGGUGAAAUUCGAUAGAUAUUAGGAAGAACACCAGAUGGCGGAAGGACGGCGCCUCAUCG